UGGGGAAUAUUGGACAAUGGGCGCAAGCCUGAUCCAGCCAUGCCGCGUGAGUGAUGAAGGCCCUAGGGUUGUAAAGCUCUUUCACCGGUGAAGAUAAUGACGGUAACCGGAGAAGAAGCCCCGGCUAACUUCGUGCCAGCAGCCGCGGUAAUACGAAGGGGGCUAGCGUUGUUCGGAUUUACUGGGCGUAAAGCGCACGUAGGCGGACUAUUAAGUCAGGGGUGAAAUCCCGGGGCUCAACCCCGGAACUGCCUUUGAUACUCGUAGUCUUGAGUUCGAGAGAGGUGAGUGGAAUUCCGAGUGUAGAGGUGAAAUUCGUAGAUAUUCGGAGGAACACCAGUGGCGAAGGCGGCUCACUGGCUCGAUACUGACGCUGAGGUGCGAAAGCGUGGGGAGCAAACAGG
rnacentral:rRNA from 1 species